UACAGAGGUCUCAAGCGUUGUUCGGAUUCAUUGGGCGUAAAGGGUGCGUAGGCGGCCAACUAAGUCAGACGUGAAAUCCCUCGGCUUAACCGGGGAACUGCGUCUGAUACUGGAUGGCUUGAGUUUGGGAGAGGGAUGCGGAAUUCCAGGUGUAGCGGUGAAAUGCGUAGAUAUCUGGAGGAACACCGGUGGCGAAGGCGGCAUCCUGGACCAACACUGACGCUGAGUGAGCGAAAGCCAGGGGAGCAAACGGG
rnacentral:rRNA from 1 species